GACUGCUAAGACUGGAUAGGAAGAUAAAAGGCAUCUUUUAUCUUUUAAAAGACCUAGUAAUAGGUAUGCUUUAGGAGGGGCUUGCGCCAUAUUAGUUAGUUGGUAGGGUAAUGGCCUACCAAGACGAUGAUGUGUAGCUGGACUGAGAGGUUGAACAGCCACAUUGGGACUGAGACACGGCCCAAACUCCUACGGGAGGCAGCAGUAGGGAAUUUUCGGCAAUGGAGGAAACUCUGACCGAGCAACGCCGCGUGAAUGACGAAGUACUUCGGUAUGUAAAGUUCUUUUAUCAAGGAAGAAAAGCAAAUGGCGAACCAUUUGUUUGCCGGUACUUGAUGAAUAAGCCCCGGCUAAUUAUGUGCCAGCAGCCGCGGUAAGACAUAAGGGGCAAGUGUUAUCCGGAAUUAUUGGGCGUAAAGGGUGCGUAGGCGGUCUAGUAAGUCAGUGGUGUAAUGGCAACGCUUAACGUUGUCCGGCUAUUGAAACUGCUAAACUUGAGUUAGAUAGAGGCGAGUGGAAUUCCAUGUGUAGCGGUAAAAUGCGUAAAUAUAUGGAGGAACACCAGAGGCGUAGGCGGCUCGCUGGGUCUUAACUGACGCUGAGGCACGAAAGCGUGGGGAGCAAACAGGAUUAGAUACCCUGGUAGUCCACGCCGUAAACGAUGAGUACUAAGUGUCGGGUUAAACCGGUACUGAAGUUAACACAUUAAGUACUCCGCCUGAGUAGUACGUACGCAAGUAUGAAACUUAAAGGAAUUGACGGGACUCCGCACAAGCGGUGGAUCAUGUUGUUUAAUUCGAAGAUACCCGAAAAACCUUACCAGGUCUUGACAUGUUUUUGCAAAAUGAUAGUAAUAUCGUGGAGGUUACCAGAAACACAGGUGGUGCAUGGUUGUCGUCAGCUCGUGUCGUGAGAUGUUAGGUUAAGUCCUAAAACGAGCGAAACCCUUAUCGUUAGUUGCCAGCACGUUAUGGUGGGGACUUUAACGAGACUGCCAAUGAUAAAUUGGAGGAAGGUGAGGAUCACGUCAAAUCAGCAUGCCCCUUAUGACCUGGGCUACAAACGUGAUACAAUGGCUGUUACAAAGGGUAGCUGAAACGCAAGUUCUUGGCCAAUCCCCAAAAACAGUCCCAGUCCGGAUUGAAGUCUGCAACUCGACUUCAUGAAGUUGGAAUCGCUAGUAAUCGCGAAUCAGCAUGUCGCGGUGAAUACGUUCUCGGGGUUUGUACACACCGCCCGUC
rnacentral:rRNA from 1 species